GGCCACUGUUUAUGUGUGUGUGUGUGUGUGUGUGUGUGUGUGUGUGUGUGCACGCGCGUGUGUGUGCGUGCACACACGCACACGCUCA
rnacentral:miRNA from 1 species